GAGGGAGGCAGCGACAAACUACACUUCCCAAUGCUCUAAAGCAACGGAAAUGACGUAAAGAGCCGACUGAGUUGGAGGGUUCGAGUAAAAAUGGCUGAAUAUUUAGCUUCGAUAUUCGGGACUGAGAAGGACAAGGUUAACUGCUCUUUUUACUUUAAGAUCGGGGCCUGCCGGCACGGGGACCGGUGCUCCCGGCUUCACAACAAACCGACUUUCAGCCAGACCAUAGUGCUGCUCAACCUGUACCGGAAUCCACAGAACACCGCCCAAACCGCAGACGGAUCACACUGUCACGUGAGCGACGUGGAGGUGCAAGAACACUAUGAUAACUUCUUCGAGGAGGUGUUCACGGAGCUGCAGGAGAAGUAUGGGGAGAUUGAAGAGAUGAAUGUGUGCGACAACCUGGGGGACCACCUCGUGGGCAAUGUCUAUGUCAAGUUUCGGCGUGAGGAGGAUGCAGAGCGGGCAGUGGCUGAACUCAAUAACCGCUGGUUCAAUGGGCAGGCAGUGCAUGCUGAGCUGUCUCCUGUCACCGACUUCCGGGAGUCGUGCUGUCGGCAAUACGAGAUGGGGGAAUGUACCCGGGGUGGCUUCUGCAACUUCAUGCACCUUCGACCCAUCUCCCGGAAUCUUCGACGUCAGCUGUAUGGGCGAGGACCCAGGCGCAGAUCCUAAGACUAGUUCUGAGCAUCAUCCCAGGACCAGAGCCUAAAUCUCAACCCCAAAACCAGCUGGAACUCCAAACCCCCAAACCCAAGACCAGUCUGGAUCUCCAAUCCAGAGAUCAGUUCCUGAGCACCUGUCCUGAUACCACUCAGUCACCCCCAAGGUCCCAUACUGGUCACCGCCCCCGAGAAAGAAACCGAAGACGUUCCCCAGACCACCGGCAUGGCCGCUUCUGAGACCCUGGCUCCCUUGACCUCCACCCCUGACAGGCAUAAAUGUUCCUGGCCAGAACACCUCCUGAAAGCUUCCUUACCUCCCCAGCGCCGUCUUCCCCAGGCUCCGGGGCUCCGUGAUGUUAAUCUGUUAAACACAGGGACCUUCCUUUACCACCCUUCCCCUAAUAAAGUUCUGUAUUGAGGGUUUAGAACCUGUUAGCUUGA